GCCAGCAGCCGCGGUAAUACGGAGGGUCCAAGCGUUAUCAAGAUUCAGUGGGUUUAAUGGGUGCGCAGGCGGACCUGUAAGUCAGUGGUGAAAUCUAGCCGCUUAACGGUAAAAUUGCCAUUGGUACUGAAGGUCUUGAAUAUGGUUGAGGUAGGCGGAAUGUGUUGUGUAGCAGUGAAAUGCAUAGAUAUGACACAGAACGCCGAUUGCGAAGGCAGCUUACUAAGCCAUUAUUGACGCUGAGGCACGAAAGCGUGGGGAGCGAACAGGAUUAGAUACCCUGGUAGUCCACGCCGUAAACGAUGUUCACUCGCUGUCUGCGAUACACAGUAGGCGGCUAAGCGAAAGCAUUAAGUGAACCACCUGGGGAGUACGAUCGCAAGGUUGAAACUCAAAGGAAUCGCCGGGGGCCCGCACAAGCGGAGGAACAUGUGGUUUAAUUCGAUGAUACGCGAGGAACCUUACCUGGGCUUAAAUGUAGAUCGCAUAUCUUAGAGAUAGGAUUUUCCUUCGGGACUAUCUACAAGGUGCUGCAUGGUUGUCGUCAGCUCGUGCCGUGAGGUGUCGGGUUAAGUCCCAUAACGAGCGCAACCCCUAUCGUUAGUUGCUAGCAGGUAAUGCUGAGGACUCUAGCGAGACUGCCACCGUAAGGUGAGAGGAAGGUGGGGAUGCCGUCAAAUCAGCACGGCCCUUAUGUCCAGGGCUACACACGUGUUACAAUGGCAGGUACAAAGGGCAGCUACACACGCGAUGUGAUGAUCAUCUCUAAAGCCUGUCCCAGUUCGGAUUGUGAGUCUGCAACCCGACUCCACGAAGUUGGAUUCGCUAGUAAUCGGAUAUCAGCCAUGAUCCGGCGAAUACGUUCCCGGGCCUCGUACACACCGCCCGUCAAACCAUGGAAGCAGGGGGUGCGUGAAGUCCGUGUCCGUAAGGAGCGGCCCUAGGGAAAA
rnacentral:rRNA from 1 species